UGGGCAGCUGUAGAAUAUACCUGGAAUGGUACUCACUUGUGGGUAAGUCAGAAACAACUGCACAAAACAAUAUGACCACACAGGGAAGGCACAGGAAAUUAAACCUGCAAUGGUUACACAUAUACAAAUACAUAUAUUUUACACAGGACUUUAAAAAAAAUAAAAAAAAAUUGCUUUAAAGUAGGAAACAUGCAGCAUAAUUGUUAGCUACUUAUGUGUAACCUUUAAGUGGAAC